rnacentral:lncRNA from 10 species
AUCCCUGCCCCACUUCCCACCCAGUCACGCUCAUGGUUGUAAGCGUAAUUCCUUCUCAACCUUUGCACAAGCUGUUCUCUCUCUUUGGAAGGCCUUUCUUCCUUCCUUUUUUGCUUGCCUGCCUCAAAGUAUACAUUUAAGCACAGUUUAGAUGUCAGCCCUUCUAGGAAGGCUUCCCCCACCCGCUAGGGUGAGUUAAAGAACCUUGAUCUCUCUUGGAUACAUUGUAUCUCCCCUAAUCUAGCCUUGCAGAUUAGAACUCCCACUCGCCAGCUGCUGACUUCCGGGCUGGUAACUGUUUGCAGGGCUCAGAAAUUCACCAGCCAUGGGUUUUUGGUGGGGAAAUUCUAUUCUUCCCAGAACUGUCCCUCUCGGUAUCCCUGAGGACAUCAUUAGUUUAAAACCAUCUCCUCUGAUCAGCUCCCCGCAGGCUGCCCCCCAUGCAACCACAGCCCCGGGGCGGAGAAGUGGGGGGUUCUUUUUGAAGAGUGGUUGACUAACAGCCAUUAGAUGAAUGGGCAAAGCACAGCGUUUUCAUUUCUGCUGCAUCUACAAACUAAAUGUUCCCAUGUAAUUACAAUUAAGGACAUGUUCGCCUGUGACAGCUCCUGGCUUCCUGGCCUCCCCAGCCACUCUCUCCCGCCACUUCUUGGGCCAUUUGCUAUUUUCUCCUCCUUUCCCCCCCUCUUCUUUGGCUUUCUCUUCUC